AUGGUGCUCUCCAGCCUGCCCUGGGUAUUCCUGGCCUUCAUCUUCUCUGGAUUUGGUGUGGCCCAGAAAGUUACUCAAGUCCAGCCAGCCAUAUCCAGUCAACUAGGGGAGGCAGUCACCUUGAACUGCGAGUAUGAAACAAGCUGGAGCCAGUACUCUAUUUUUUGGUAUAAGCAGCUUCCCAGUGGAGAGAUGACUUUCCUUAUUCAUCAGCGUUCUUCUGGCCAAAAUGCAAAGAAUGGCCGCUAUUCCGUAAACUUUCAGGAAAGACAUAAAUUCAUCAGCCUCACCAUUUCAGCCUUACUGGUAGAAGAUUCUGCAAACUACUUCUGUGCCCUCUGCAAAUUCUGGGACACAGAUUUCCAGAUAGUUGCGACACUACAAAGCUACUACAGUACCCUCUAUGUCAACUAG